ACAUCUUUCCCACAGGCGCUUGGGUCUAUGAUACAGAUUUUUUUUUUUUUUUUUUUUUUUUAUCAAAAUAUUCAAUUUUUUAUAUUUAUAAUACAUAUCUAUCACUUCUGUGCAUGUCUCACCUAGUUUCGAGUGAUUUAAACGACCCAGAGAAAAUACCAAAUUUUACUAUCCAUACUAAGAGACAAAAAGGCAACUAACUCGACGCCAUUUUUCUGCUAUCUAUAAAUAAAUAGAUUGACCUACCUGGAUUCCCCAACGAUUUCUCUGGGAAAACGUGCCUUCCUUGCCGUCAGAUCGCACACAUCGUUGAUAUUUAUCAAAUUGGUAUUGUUCGUAACAUUUUUAGUCCAUCUCCAGCAUAUAAUAAAAAGAUUUUAACUAUUUUGACUAAUUUCAAAUUUACGUGCCCGGAAGUUGACUGUUUUUCCCGAACUUUUGUUAAAGGGAAGUAAUAUUUUCCCGGACUUUUUCGGAAC
rnacentral:lncRNA from 1 species